rnacentral:rRNA from 1 species
AGAACUAACAAGGAUUCCCCUAGUAACGGCGAGUGAAGUGGGAAAAGCUCAACUUUGUAAUCUGACAGCUUCGCUGUCCGAGUUGUAGUCUCGAGAAGUGUUUUCCGCGUUGGACCGUGUAUGAGUCUGUUGGAAUACAGCGUCAUAGAGGGUGAGAACCCCGUUCAUGACACGUCAUCCAGUGCUUUGUGAUACACUUUCGAUGAGUCGAGUUGUUUGGGAAUGCAGCUCAAAAUGGGUGGUAAAUUCCAUCUAAAGCUAAAUAUUGGCGAGAGACCGAUAGCAAACAAGUACCGUGAGGGAAAGAUGAAAAGCACUUUGGAAAGAGAGUUAAAAGUACGUGAAAUUGUUGAAAGGGAAACGCUUGAAGUCAGACGUGCGCGGUACUUGUUACCAUUGCAGGCCAACAUCGAUUUUGCAAGCCGGAUAAAGGUAGAAGGAAGGUGGCAGUCUCGACUGUGUUAUAGCCUUUUACUGAAUACGGAAUACGAGAUCGAGGGACGCAGCGCGCCGUAAGGCAUAGGAUUCGUCCUAUUCGCGCUUAGGAUGUUGGUGAAAUGGCUUUAAUCGACCCGUCUUGAA